GGAUGCGAUCAUAGCAGCACUAAAGCACCGGAUCCCAUCAGAACUCCGAAGUUAAGCGUGCUUGGGCGAGAGUAGUACUAGGAUGGGUGACCUCCUGGGAAGUGCUCGUGUUGCAUUCCC
rnacentral:rRNA from 1 species